rnacentral:rRNA from 1 species
UACGGAGGGAGCUAGCGUUGUUCGGAAUUACUGGGCGUAAAGGGCUCGUAGGUGGCCAACUAAGUCAGACGUGAAAUCCCUCGGCUUAACCGGGGAACUGCGUCUGAUACUGGAUGGCUUGAGUUUGGGAGAGGGACGCGGAAUUCCAGGUGUAGCGGUGAAAUGCGUAGAUAUCUGGAGGAACACCGGUGGCGAAGGCGGCGUCCUGGACCAACACUGACACUGAGGAGCGAAAGCCAGGGGAGCAAACGGG